GAUCUAAUGUAGCUUAUACCUUAGGCAUUGUAAGUAGAUUUUAGGCAGAUCAGGAGAGAAUCAUUGAAAAAUAGUGAAAAAAUAUUCUCAAGUACUUAAGAAGGACUAAAGAUGCUUUUCUCAUUUGUCGUGGAUCUGAUCUGAAACUAAAAAAAUUUAUAGAUUUUAUUUUUUAAUCUGAUCCGGAUGAUAGCCAAUCCAUAUUAGGAUAUGUAUUUACUCUAUAUGGUGGUGC
rnacentral:lncRNA from 1 species